rnacentral:rRNA from 1 species
GCGAGAUAACCGCUGAAAGCAUCUAAGCGGGAAACUAGCCUCAAGAUGAGAUCUCACUGGAACCUUGAGUUCCCUGAAGGGCCGUCGAAGACUACGACGUUGAUAGGUUGGGUGUGUAAGCGCUGUGAGGUGUUGAG